GUAUUGUAGAAAUUUGAAGAAGCUGGAUCUCUCUGAUUGCAAGCACCUCAGAAAUACUCCAAACUUCAGCGGUUUACGAAGUCUCGAGACUUUGUGGCUUGAGAAUUGCUCAAGUCUAAAGGAGAUCCAUCCAUCAAUAGGAAAUUUGGACAGACUAACUGCUCUUCAUUUGUAUGGUUGCAAAAAGAUUACGGAUCUUCCAAGUAGCACAUGCCAGCUAAAAUCCCUUGAAGACUUGGACAUUACUUACUGCUCAUCUUUACAAACACUGCCAGCUGACAUUGGAGAUAUGCAAAGCCUAAGACAUCUCUAUGCACAAGAUACUGAUAUAAAACAAUUGCCCGGAUCUGUUAAAAUGCUAAGAAAUCUUACAGAUUUGCAAGUGGGAGGUCAAAAUUUAAAGGCCAAAAGGAGAGUUUAUCAAAGAAGAUCCCACCAUAUAGAAUCCUUGCCAAUUUCUAUUUCUCGUUUAAUCCUUCGAUAUUGUGAUUUCUCCGAGGCUGAUAUUCCUAGGGAUAUUGGGACUUUAUCCAACUUACAUGAUUUAGAUUUGAGCGGCAACAGUUUCCUCUAUCUACCCUUUGAUUUCUCCAAGUUACCAUGGUUGAAGUCCUUGCGUUUGAAUGAUUGUAUGAAUCUUCAAACACUCCCGUCAAUAUCAAAUUUAGAGUACCUUUAUAUUCUUGAACUUAGGAAUUGCCAAAAGUUGGUCAAGAUUACAGGGUUGGACAACCUCCCUUCAAUACAAGAGAUCGACACUCUUAAUUGUACUUCUCUGCAGAAUCCAUUCAAUGAUGGCUUCUUUAGUGCCCAUGCUCUAUCAAUUUCAUCUAGAAAAUAUGCAAUGUUUCAGGUAAGUCCCUUUAUUUUUGUGUGUCUCGUAUCACAUUAUUAAUUAAUGUUCUAAUUGUGUCUUAAUUUGUCUGAUGAAGCUGCGGUUACACAUUUAUCUCCAAAGCAAUGAGAUUCCAGAUUGGUGCAGCAAUCAAGUAACAGCUCCAUCUAUCUGUUUCACUAUUCCCUCCGUAUUUAAGAAAAAGUCGUUAGGAAUGAUUCUCUGGUUUGUUUGCGACUCUAAGAUUUUAUCCCAGUUUGGACACUUCCUUGUUUCCGUAUCCAAUAAAAAGCCUUUAGUUUUUUACUGGACUAGGUAUAUUACUACACCCGAAUCACACGGAGAAGUAUCAUGCGUAUAUUACAUAUCUUGCUUAACUAGUCAUUAUUCUGGCCUGAUGAUCAAAGGCGGGGAAAAGAUAACAGUCGAGGAGGGCCCUGACAAAGGUAGAGUAAAGAAGAUAGGGGUACAUCUGUUAUACUUAGACAAACAUGGUAAUGUUACAUCUUCCCCACCAAUCCUUGAAGAAAAUCAUUCGCAUUCUCAGAUAAUGAACAGAGAGAGUCUCAGUGGAAAUGAACUCAAAAAGAGUGUCAAACAGAGGAUAUCAGCUCAAUCCUUGAAGAACAUCAUCACUCGCUUCAAAUCUUAGUUGAAUCAAAAAUAACUUGCUCCAGUUUCUUAUCAACAUGCAAUAUUCAAAAUGCUCAUCCAACUACAAUCUGAUUUUUUUAAAAAGUAUUUUUCAUCCGACAGAUGCUAAAUACUCAUUGCAAGUUGUCAUCCAAUGAAAAUUUUGCUAGUGUGUACAUUUUAUAUCUUACUCAAAUGAUGGACCUUUUUAUGGCCUGAAGAUUGAAGGCGGGGAAAAGAUAACAGUCAAGGAGGGCGCUGACGAAGGUAUAGUUUUUGCAGGCAGUUGUGGAUCAUUCUUAUACUGAUCUCUACCCAAAAAGACUUUCAUCAAACUACUCCUCUUUGAUAAAAGAUCAAAGUUUCUGUGUUCGGUAGCAAGGAAAAUAUGUUCCAUGAAAACGUUUUUUUGGAAAAUGUUUAUUCUAAAAGUAUUUGUAUAUAUAACACUAAGUGGAAAUGUACUUUUCUGCAGAAUCCAUUCAAUGAAUGCAUCUUUAGUGCCACUGCUCUAUCAAUUCCAUCUGGAAAAUAUCCAAUACAUGAGGGUAGUCCCCUCUCUCUCUCUCUCGUAUCACAUUAACAAUUAAUGAUCUAAUUGUAUUUUAAUUUGUCUGAUGAAGCAGAUUUUAUGAAUUUGUGUCGAAUGCAAUGAGAUUCCAGAUGGGUGCAGCAAUAAAGUAACAGCUCCAUAUAUCUGUUUCACUAUGCCCACAAUACAUAAUAAUAAGUUGUUAAGAAUGGUUCUCUAGUCUGUUGGCGACUUUGAGGCUUUAUCCUAUUUUGGGAACUUCCUUGUUACUGUUGCCCAUAAAAAGCCUUUAGUUAUGGAGUGGUUUGGGUGUAGGAAAAUACCCGAAUUACACGAAGAAAUAGCAUGUGUAUUUGAUGUAUCUUGCUUACGUAGACCUUUCGAUGGCCUGAUGCUCAAAGGUGGGGAAGAGAUAACAGUCGAGGAGGGCCCUUACAAAGGUGUAGUAAAAAAGAUAGGUAUCCAUCUGUUAUACUUAGACCAACACGGUAAUGUUACAUCUUUCCCCAUUUCCAGAAAAACUUCAGCAGGGCAUAAAAGAGCAAAGUUCUGAGUCAAGCUUGGGAAUGAGUGAUGACUGAAUCUGUGGUUUCGAGAUUGCUCAAGUCUGAGACUUCUAUUUCGAGAUUUUCUUUUCUAAGAAGAGCAUGCCACUUACAAUCCUUGUCAUCGACUUCUAUUUCGUGUUUGUCUGAGACUGAUUUUCCUAAGUUUAUUGGGAGUUUAUAUACUGCAUAGAAGUUUUAGAUUUGAGCAGUAACAAUUUUCACUGAGGUUCUUGCUUUUGAAUGACAAUGAGAGUCUUCAAACACUUCCAUCAGUUGCUUCUGUAUAAAAUUUUGUUUUCCAUUGUAUACUGCUAGUUUUUUGAGCUGCACUAAAACUUAGUAAAAAGAGAUGAAUCUGUAUAGUGAAUAUACUUCUUAUAAAUGUUUGUGGUGAUUUAUGGUCAUUAUUUGCAAAUUUCAUAUACUCAUCAGUUCCUAUUUACUUGUCAAAUAUUUUCUAAUUUGAUUUCCCUUUUUAGUUCGUCAUUUUUUUUACAAAUGAAGGAAGAACAAUUAUUUUCUUCCUAUUAUACGCUUAAUUUAUUAACAUUGAAUUAAUGUCUUUGAAAAAUGUAGUAAGUAAAUAUGUUUAAGAUUCUAUCAAUUAAUAGGGUAAAAUAGUAAACUUACUAUACCAAUCAUUGUUUUCUUUAACAGGUGUGUCAAGUCAAAAUUUAACAAGUAAAAAGGGACGAAAAGAGUAUAUAUACUUUGUGAAUUGAGAUUUAUGUCAAUGCUUUGACUGGUUCUUGAGAUGUUAAAUAAUUCCAAAUAAUAUUAAUUUGAUUUUCAUGACCAAACACCUACUUAGCUUGUUGAUCUCAAUUACGUAAAAUCUCUAUAAAAGAUAACCAAAGAAUGUCUCGAAGUCAACUACUGGUCAGACUAUUCAAAAAGAACUUAUAUUAUAAGAAAAUAUUCAAAAAGGAGAAAAAAAAAGUGAAGGAGAAGAAAGAGGAGGUAAAUAGCGUGUAUAUUUAUGAUACGUUAAGUAAGCAAUAUAUUUGUUUAUGUAAUAAGUUAAUUGCAAAGAAUCAAUUACGAAUUUGGUUGAAAAUAGAAUUAAGUACUCUCUUCCUCUCAUAUUAGUUGAUCAUUAUAUUAAAAAUAAUUAUCUAAUAUAAAUAUUUUCUAUAUUAUCCUUGCAAUUAAUUCUUUUUAAAAGUGUUCAUAUUUGUUUAUAAAAUUCCAAAAUAUUUUUUAAAAGGGUGAAUUAAUAAAAUUAUCUUCAUAUUUAUGAUUUUUUAAGCACCAUACAAAAUGAAAAGUGAUCAAAUAAUGGGACAGAGGAAGUAUUAGAUUACUCACUCUGUGGUAUCAUAAUAUUAUCAUUUUAUUUAUUGCUAAUGAAUAUGUGUCAUCAUACUGGACAAAUUAAAAUGAACGAACGUCCCAAUAGCAAAUUAAAUUUCUUACUUGGGAUCAACAAGGAUUGUGGUGCAGUAGAAAGUACUCAUUUAUCCUUAAUCAGACUCUUGGGUUCAAGUUUCCCUUGGUAUAAAGUCCCCUUUUUUAGGGAGCGUUUUACCUCCAAUGUGGAACUUUUCAGUGCAAAUCAAAAUUUAAUCGGGUUCCAAUGUGGUACGAACAACAAGUGGAAAAUCAAAUCAAAUAAAAAAAUAAUAAUUUUUUUUCUUAUUUUUGAAGAAUCUGACACAGAUAGAGCAACAUUUUCAAAGAAUCUGAGUAAAAUACCAAACUAUGAUAAUCUUAAUAAAGGCAUAGUGGAACAUCAUGACAUAUUUGUUGUAUUUUAUUUUUAAGGGAAAAGGCUCAAAUAUGCCAUUGAACUUUCAGAAAAGGCUCAUUUAUGCCAUCCGUUAAAAGUUUGGCUCAUCUAUGCCAUUACCGUUUAAGAAAAGGCUCAUUCAUGCCAUUAUUUUUUAACGGUGGUUUUGCAGAACCAUUUUUUUAAAUGUUUGUUUAGAAUUUUGAUUUUUUAUUAUAAAAAAAAUAAUGACGUGGCCGAAUUAUAAUUGGCCACGUGUAAAAAAUGAUUUUGCAAAACCACCGUUAAAAUAUUUGUUCAUAAUUUUGUUUUUUUGUUAUAAAAAAAUAAUGACGUGGCUGAAUUAUAAUUGGUCACGUGUAAAAAAUAGUUUUGCAAAACCACCGUUAAAAUGCUUGUUCAGAAUUUUGAUUUUUUAUUAUAAAAAAAUAAUGACAUGGCCAAAUUAUAAUUGGCCACGUGUAAAAAAUGGUUUUGCAAAACCACCGUUAAAAAAUAAUGGCAUGAAUGAGCUUUUUCUUAAACGGUAAUGGCAUAGAUGAGCCAAACUUUUAACGAAUGGCAUAAAUGAGCCUUUUCUGAAAGUUCGAUGGCAUAUUUGAGCCUUUUCCCUAUUUUUAAUAAAGAUGAAGAGGAAAAGUCAGAGGUUGUGAAAUUUGUUGCAAUACUAUAUUUGUUCUGCAAUAAAUUAAUCACAAAGAUAUAGAAACGGUCCAAUUCAAUAAAUUAUUCACUUUGUGUGUAAUCGUAAUAUUGUUAUUUUAUUUAUUGUUAAUGAACGUAUAUCGUUAUAAAUGAACCGAGGGUGAGAGUAAACAAAUUAAAUUUCUUAGGACUUGGGAGGUAUCUUGCAAAAUAGUUGAUCUAAUACUAUACAGUGAACUUUCUUGGUUUCAUCCAUGAAUACUCAAGGAGAAUCAUCAUCUUCUUCUUCCCACUUGUCUUAUGAUGUAUUUCUCAGUUUUAGAGGCGAAAGAUACUCGCAAAACCUUCACCGGUCAUCUUUACACCCAAUUGUGUCAAGUCGGAGUUCAUACCUUCAUAGAUGAUGAGGAAUUAAGAAAGGGAGACGUCAUUUCAACCGAACUUGAGAAAGCAAUUGAACAAUCAAGGGUUGCCAUUGUUGUUUUCUCCAAAAAUUAUGCUUCGUCUAGUUGGUGUCUUGAUGAACUUGUUAAAAUUCUCGAUUGCAAAGAGAGGUUAAAGCAGGUAGUUUUGCCUAUUUUCUAUGAUGUUGAUCCUUCUCAAGUGCGAAAGCAAACUGGGUCCUUUGGCGAAGCUUUGGCAAAACACAAGGAACGAUCAAUUGGAGCUGAAAGAAUGGAAAAGUGGAAAGCAGCACUCACUGAAGCUGCAAAUUUAUCUGGAUGGGAUUUGCGAAAUAUUGCUGAUGGGUAAAACUUCUUAAUUUAAUGGGAAAAUGCAUAAGUAUCCCCAAAUUUAUGCCUGAAAUUUCAGAGACACACUUAUACUAUACUAAGAUCCUAUUAUCCGAACUUAUUUUAUAAAUAAUUUUCUACCCCUUUUCGGUCUAUGUGACACUAUUCUUGAAAGAAUUGUCAACAUGCGCUGGCCCUGAAGAUAGUGUCACGUAGGCUGAAAAGGAGUAGAAAAUUAUUUAUAAAAUAAGUACGGGGUAAUAAGACCUUAAUAUAGUAUAAGUGUGUCUCUGAAAUUUCGGGCAUAGGUUGAGGGAUACUUAUGUAUUUUCCCUAAUUUAAUUAUAGAAUUUUGAAUUUAAGAAUUUGCUUAAGCUUAUAAGUUGGUUAGUUUUGAAACAUUGCAAAGUCUUUCAAUAUUUCUUAAAACUCAGUGCCCAAUCAAACUAAGGGAGUAGUAAUAAUCGAUAAUCCAAGUAUCAAUUAACAGCAAUUAGCCUGUUAAAUGUAGUUAGAAUUUACUAAUAGCAUAGAAAUAUCAAUAUAUAAAAAUAAAUUCCGUUCUCUAACCUCGAGUCCCUGUUAUCUGUUGGCUAUUGAUUUUGUUUUGUUCAUCAAAUAUCCAAGUAUUGUUUUGCUUUUUUUACUUUUAACUUUUGUUGUUGCCAUAAAAUUGUAGGCAUGAAUCAAAAUUUAUUGGAAGUAUUAUAAAACAAGUUCUGCAAGAGGUCAACCAGACACCUCUAGAUGUUGCUCAUUACCCAAUUGGAUUAGAUUCUUCUAUCGAACAUAUAGAGUUGUUACUGCAAAGUGGAUGUGAGCAUGAAGUUCACAUGAUUGGUAUAUGUGGCGUUGGUGGAAUUGGAAAAACAACUCUGGCAAAAGCUAUCUACAAUAAAAUAUUUCAACAGUUUGAUGGUAGUUGCUUCCUUUCAGACGUUAGAUCAAAAACUGAAGAAAUGGGUCUAGUCAAACUUCAAAAGAAACUACUUAAUCAAAUCCUCAAAACUAAGGAAUUUGAAGUUGAUAGUGUUGCUGAAGGUGUUAAUCUCAUCAAAGCAAGACUUGGGUUUCAGAAGGUUCUAAUUGUUCUUGAUGACGUGGAUCAUAAAAGCCGAUUAGAAUCCUUAACAAGAGAAAGAAGUUGGUUUGGCUUUGGUAGUGUAAUAAUUAUUACAACCCGAGACGAGCAUUUGUUGUAUGGGCUUACAACAAGUGAGAUAUACCAGGCCAAACUUUUAAAUGACAACGAAGCUCAGCAACUUUUUUCUCGUCAUGCUUUCAACAGUUUUUCUCCACCACAAGAAUAUGAUGAGCUGGCACAAGACAUAAUAAAAUAUUCAGGUGGGUUACCAUUAGCUCUUGUGACAUUAGGGUCACAUUUGCAAGGGAGAUCCAUAGAAGAAUGGAGACACGAGUUCAAAAAACUAAGAGCAAUUCCUCAUUGUGAUACUCAAAAGAUUCUCCAAAUAAGCUUUGAUGGACUUGAUGACAAUACUCAGAGUGUUUUCCUUGAUAUCACAUGCGCCUUCCAUGGAUGUUAUGAGGAUGAAGUGACCAAAACAUUAAAUGCGUGUGGUUUUUAUUCUGAAAGUGCAAUUUCGACCUUAAUCCAAAGGAACUUACUCCAAAGGGAUUGCUGUUAUUUGGUGAUGCAUGAUCUAGUGCGGGAUAUGGGAAGAGAAAUCGUUCGCUUGGAAUCACCUCGAGACUCUGGAAAACGGAGUAGAUUGUUCAACCCUCAAGAAGUCCGUGAUGUUCUACAAGGAAAUAAAGUUAGUAAAUUUGGAUUAUCUUUAUUUGAUAUACAUUUGCUUAUAAUUUAUGUUGUCACCACAUAAACUUAUUUCAUUUGUGCUCAAUACUUCUCUGGCUAGUAAAUUAUCUCUAGUUGUUUGCGAACCACUCUGUACUUGAAAUGAGUCAAAGACAAAAUUAUCAAAUAAAAUUCAGUUAUUCAAUAAUUAUAGAAAUUGAUUUGUUGAAAGAUAUUUCUUAUUAAAUAUUUGGAUAUAAUGUGUAAAUUUAUUUUCUUGGUAGAUAAUUUUUAUUCUCUUUGAUUGACCUUUAAUUUGUAUAAAACAUUUCUCUCUCUUAAUUUCUUAUACUUAACAUGGUCUUAUGGUACUUAACAUGGUCUUACAGGGUUCCAAAAAUGUAGAAGUAUUGGUGGUAGAACGACGGGCAUUAAAGGGUGUGAAGCUGAGCACCAAAGCAUUUCAGAAAAUGAUAAAACUUAGGGUGCUUAAAAUUGAUGACUUACAUAUUAGUGGAGAUUUUGAGCUAUUGUCCAAGGAGCUCAGAUGGUUGUCUUGGAAAGGAUGUCCUUUAAAAUGUAUACCAUUAAAUUUUCCAGCUGAAAAACUUGUAGUUCUGAAUAUGGAAGGGAGCGAUGUCCAAGACUUUGGUUUGAAUUUGCAGGUUCAUUACUCAAUUCUGCAAUUUCACGUGUACUGUUAUAUCGCAAGUAUGAGAAGGAAAAUGUUUAAUUGAAAUUAUAUUUUGUUUACAUUUUAGUGUUGUAGAAGUUUGAAGGAGCUGAAUCUCACUGAUUGCAAGCGCCUCAGAAGUACUCCAAACUUCAGGGGUUCACGAAGUCUCAAGAUUUUGUCCCUUGAGAAUUGCUCAAGUCUAAAGGAGAUCCAUCCAUCAAUAGGAAAUUUGGAAAGACUAAUUGAUCUUCAAUUGAGUGGUUGCAAAAAGAUUACGGAUCUUCCGAGCGGCAUAUGCCAGCUAAAAUCCCUUGAAUACUUGUGCAUUAAUGACUGCUUAUCUUUACAAACACUGCCAGUUGACAUUGGAGAUAUGCAAAACCUAGUAAUUCCUCAUGCAUGGGAUACAGGUAUAAAACAAUUGCCUGUAUCUGUUGAGAUGCUAAGAAAUCUUGAACAUUUGCAAGUGGGAAGUAGAAAUUUAGUGGCCAAAAGGAGUUUUUCUCGAAGAAGAAGAGUCCGCCGCAUAGAAUUCUUGCCAAUUUUUAUUUUUCAUUUAUGCCUUCCAUAUUUUGGUUUCUCAGAGGAUGAUAUUCCUAGAGAUAUUGGAAGAUUAUCCAACUUACGUUAUUUAGAUUUGAGGGGCAACAAUUUCCUCUAUCUACCCUUUGAUUUUUCCAAGUUACCAUUGUUGAUUUCCUUGUGUUUGAAUGAUUGUAAGAAUCUUCAAACACUCCCAUCACUAUCAAAUUUAGAGUACCUUGAAAUUCUUGGACUUGAGAAUUGCCAAAAUCUGGUGAGGAUUACAGGGUUGGACUACCUCCCGUCAAUAAAGAUGAUCGACGUGAUUAAUUGUACUUCCCUGCAGAAUCAAUUCAAUGAAGGCUUCUUUAGUGCCCAUGCUCUAUCAACUCCGUCUAUAAAAUAUCCAGAUAUUAAGGUUUAGUCCCUCUUCCUCUCUCUCUCAUAUCACAUUAUUAAUGAUCUAAUUUUGUCUUAAUUAAUAUGUCUGAUGAAGCUGCAGUUAGAAAUUUAUGUCGAAAGCAAUGAGAUUCCAGAAUGGUGCAGCAAUAAAGUAACAGCUCCAUCUAUUUGUUUGACUAUGCCCACAGUACAGAAUAAUGAGUAUAACUUCUUAGGAAUGGUUCUCUGGUUUGUUUCCCACUUUUGCAAUGUAACCACCCGUCUUCAAAAGUUUGAUGUUACUAUUGGCCAGCCUUCAGCUUUUUUCUUGACUUGGGUACCUGACAGUCAGGGAGAAGUAUCAUGUGUACAUUACUUAUCUUUCUCAAAUGGUAGACCUUUUAAUGGCCUGAACAUCAUCAAAGGCGGGGAACAGAUAAGAGUAGAGGAUCACAGUGAUGGAGGCAUAAUAAAGAAGAUAGGAGUACGUCUGUUAUAUUUAGAUCAACAUGGUAAUGUUACUUCUUUCCCGGCAGUUGUGGAUCAUUCUUAUACUCCCAACCCACAAAGAUAGAUGUUUGAUUUGGGUUGAUAUAAAUUGUUAAGCUGACAAAAAGUUGACAAGCAAACUACAUACUGUAAUAAAUAGAAUUCUUACAAGUGCUUCGACAUUAUUGCUGCUUUGAUGUAUUUGUACAAGAUUUUAUGUGAACAUUCCCUGGCCAAUUGAAACAAACACUGUUAGCAACAUCUAAUACUAUAUCAAUCAUGAAAUUUUCAGUGAAACGUUGCCACUAUAACGAGGUUUGACUGUACUUGCAUAAUGUUAAACCAUCAUCGUACAAGACAUGCCACCCUUACCUACAAGGUGGAGCAUUUUCAUCAGACAUGCUCAAAUGCAACAAAUCCAUACGGAUAUGAUGAUCAAAAUUGAAUGACCGCGAAAGAAAUUAAACGAAUAGAAGCUAGAAUGUCAAUUGACUCACUAAUAAUCCCCUCAAGUACCCGAGGUUGCAUAUUAAUUCCUCCCAAGAUAAAACGGAUUAACCAUUAACGAAGUAGCAGUACCUCAAACUUCGAUAAUUUCAACGAACUCAAAAUGACAGCAACGAAUCAUACACAGACACGAUCAAUUGAUUUUGUUUUUUUAAGAAAUGUAUGCAAAAGAAGGGAAGAAUUCGAUGCAGAAAAAUGGGAGGAAACUUCUCUAUUUAUAGCCAACAAAGGGUAAAGGCACAACCCUUUGGAAAGAAGACAACCUUUCAGAGAGGUCACAACACUUUCAAAAAGGCAUAACCUUUCAAAUGGUCAUAACCCUUUAGAAAGGACACAACAUUUCAUAAAGGUCACAAUCCUUCGGCAUAGUCACAACUCUUCAGGAGAGUCACAGCCCUUCAUUUCCUGUUCACACAUUUAAAACCCAACAAUCCCCCACAUGAAUAGGGAAUGGCUAUUGUUAAAACAUAUGCAUGAAAAAUUGUGUGAUUUGUAAUUAAGGAUUGAUUGCCUCUGGAUAAGUGGGUUUCCCUUUGAACUUUCCAUAGUGAACAUAUAUCGGAUAUACUCGGUCAAUCGGUAGAUUUGAUAUCUUUGAACCGUCGAGCUUUGGUGUAUACCUAGACAACAUAAGUCACACAAUCAACCCUUGAACUGUUUUUGGUUCUCAUUGUUUUAUUCUUUUCGGCCAUGAACACGUCUCAGUUUAUAAGUGCGUAGAGAACUGGCCUUACCAGAUUCUCCUUGAAGCGGCUUACACUUCACACUUACAUAGGUGAUUUCUAAAAUGUGUUAUCCCAUAGAUACACCAUUUGAUAUACGCUGUAUCAAACUUAGAAAUCAUUAAAAAGUCCUAAUGCAUUUAUCCUUGUUACUGAACAUUGUCUUAUCAUGAGAAUGGACCAUAAAAAAUAUUUUGACAAUGUUGAACCGUCAUCAAUGACUUUGUUUGAUCUCCUUGAACCUAGAUCUUGGGAUCUCCAGUCUUCUAGGUAGAGUUACCGCCACAAUGACUUGUUCUCGGCCAUAGUCCCAUUCCCUUUGAUAAUCUAUCAACUCCCUCUCUAGUUAGGCCUUUUAUAAGUGGUCCGACACAUUAUCCUUUGACUUUACAUAGUCAAUUAUGAUAAUUCCACUAGAGAGUAGUUCUCUAACGAUAUUAUGUCUACGUCAUAUAUGAUGAGACUUCCCGUUAUACAUCAUGCUCCAUGCCCUACCUAUUGAGAAUUAACUCUCACAGUGUAUGCAUACCGGAGCUAAAAGGUUUGGGCCAAAAAUCUUUUAAGAAAUUUUGGAGUCAUUCAACUUCUUCACCCGCCUUAUCUAGAGUGAUAAACUCAGAUUUCAUAGUAGAGUCAUAUAAUAUAUGAUCAUGAUUACGUUGGCAUCAUCUCAUCCCAUUGACGAAUGACUCCUAAAUGAAUUUUGAUCAAUUAUUUCAAUCCACUUUCCCAUAAUGUGAAAGAGAUUCAAAGAAGAAUGGACUUUGAGAUGCCAAAAAGAAGAGUGAGAGAGUUGUGUUGACAAUUAAUAUGAAAGCAAGUCACAAAUUAUCUACUAAAGUCAAUCUAGUCCAUAAGUGAAUUAUUAGAGAUAUAAAAAUAAAAAUCUUUAUUAUUUUUAUUAGUGUGACCAAUUAAAAAUCUAGGAAGGAAGUGAAAAUUAAUACUUAUCAUGGACAAAUAAAAAUUAAAAAUGAAGGAAACAUGUCUAUGAAAUAUCUUGGGAACUUCCCUUUCAUUUCUGUUAACCUUCUUUGGGGAGGAUUGUAAAUGAGUUGACCCAAAAUAACAAACAAUUACUUGUGGGUGGUGUUCAUGGUUUGGAUAAAACCAAUCCAAACUGAAAAAUCGAAUCAAAUCGAUAAAAUAAAAUCGAUUUUAUUUGGAUUUGAUUUUAGAUUUUUAAAAACCGAUAGUAUUUGGUUUGGUUAUGGUUUUAUUCAAAAAAACCGAAGAAAUAACUGAACCGAUGAAUUAUAUACAUAUAUUUUAUUAAUAUACAUACUUAAUAUAUUGUUUUUAUAAGCAACUUUAAAGAUCUUACAUAUAUUUUCAUUAAUUUUUUUUUUAUAAUUUACUUAUUGAAAGCAAAAAUGCCCAAGAUAAAAAUAUUUAUCUUAUUGAUUUCAUAUAUAUGAAUGUCUAUGACAAUUCUUUGUGGAACUGAAAAUGUUAUUGUCUCUUCCUUCUAGGCCAAUAUAGUGAAUUUUAAAGUUUUAUUAAUAGUAAAUUUAGUGAUCAAAAGUUCAAUAAUUUAAGUCAUUCUAACUAUUUUUCGUUUUGAAUGGAUUGUUGUCACUUUUUUCACAUUUUGAAUGAAUUAUUUCUUUUAUUUUUGUGUAUGGUUAAUAACCGAACCAAAUCAAACCGAAACUAAUAACCAUCAAACCGAUAAAUGUAUAUUAUAUUUGAUUUGAUUUGGUUUUGAUAAUUUUAAAACCGAUUAAGUUGGUUUGAUUUUGAAUUUGACCACUAACCAAUACCUACUUGUGGGUAUAUAAAGUGCUGCUUCACUCAUCUCUAUUUAAUUAAAAAAAACAAAAGUUGACUAAAAUUCUCUUUAAUUUAUUGUCAUCAAAUAUGAAUACUCAAUUUGUUGUAGGAGAAUCAUCUUCUUCUUCCAACUUCUCUUAUGAUGUAUUUCUCAGUUUCAGAGGUAAAGAUACCCGUAAAAACUUCACCGGUCAUCUUUAUUUCCGAUUGUGUCAAGUCGGAGUUAAUACUUUCAUAGAUGAUGAGGAAUUGAGAAAGGGAGACGUCAUUUCAACAGAACUUGAGAAAGCAAUUGAAGAAUCUAGGGUUGCCAUUGUUGUUUUCUCCAAAAAUUAUGCUUCGUCUAGUUGGUGUCUCGAUGAACUUGUCAAAAUUCUCGAUUGCAGAGAGAGGUUAAAUCAGGUAAUUUUGCCUAUUUUCUAUGAUGUUGAUCCUUCUCAAGUGCGAAAACAAACUGGGUCCUUUGGCGAAGCUUUGGCAAAACACAAGGAACAAUUGUUUGGAGUUCAAAGAGUGGAGAAGUGGAGAGCUGCACUUACUGAAGCUGCGAAUUUAUCUGGAUGGGAUUUGCGAAACAUGGCUGAUGGGUAAGACUUCUUAAUUUAACUAUAGAGUUUUGAAUUUAAGCGUUUGCCUAAGCUUAUAAGUCAAUAGUGGACAAUAUUGAGGGACAAAGAAAGGAAGUUGGUUUACAUAAAUUGGGACGAAGGAGUAGUAGUAGUAAUAGAUAAUCUCCAUUCUCUUACCUCGAUUCCUGUUAGUUGAUUUUGUUUUGUUCAUCAAAUAUCAAAGUAUUGUUUUACUUGUUUUUUUACUUUUAACUUCUUUUAUUGCUAAAAACUGUAGGCAUGAAUCAAAAUUUAUUGGAAGUAUUAUAAAACAAGUUUUGCAAGAGGUCAACCAGACACCUCUAGAUGUUGCUCAUUACCCAAUUGGAUUAGAUUCUUCUAUCGAACAUAUAGAGUUGUUACUGCAAAGUGGAUGUGAGCAUGAAGUUCACAUGGUUGGUAUAUGUGGCGUUGGUGGAAUUGGAAAAACAACUCUGGCGAAAGCUAUCUACAAUCGAAUAUUUCGACAAUUUGGUGGUUGUUGCUUCCUUUCAGACACUAGAUCAAAAGCUAAAGAACAGGGUCUAGUCAAGCUACAAGAGAAACUACUUUGUCAAAUUCUCAAAACUAAGGAAUUCGAAGUUGAUAGUGUUGAUGAAGGUGUCAAUCUAAUCAAAGCAAGACUUGGGUCAAAGAAGGUUCUAAUUGUUCUUGAUGACGUGGAUCAUAGAAGCCAAUUAGAAUCCUUAACAAGAGAAAGAAGUUGGUUUGGCUCUGGCAGUGUAAUAAUUAUUACAACCCGAGACAAGCAUUUGCUAUAUGGGCUUACAACAAGUGAGAUACACCAGGCCAAACUUUUAAAUAAAAAUGAAGCUCAACAACUUUUUUGUUGUCAUGCUUUUAACAGCCUUUCUCCAUCACAAGAAUAUGUUGAGCUGGCACAAGACAUAAUAAAAUAUUCAGGUGGGCUACCAUUAGCUCUUGUGACAUUGGGGUCACAUUUGCAAGGGAGAUCCGUAGAAGAAUGGAGAUACGAGUUCAUAAAACUAAAAGCAAUUCCUCAUGGUGAUAUUCAAAAGAUUCUCCAGAUAAGCUUUGAUGGACUUGAUGACAAUCCUAAGAGUGUUUUCCUUGAUAUCGCAUGCGCCUUUCAUGUGUGUUAUGAGGAUGAAGUUACCAAAGCAUUAAAUGCGUGUGGUUUUUAUUCUAAAAGUGCAAUUUCAACCUUAGUCGAAAGGAACUUGCUCCAAAGGGAUUGGCCUUAUUUGGUGAUACAUGACCUUGUGCGGGAUAUGGGAAGAGAAAUCGUUCGCAGGGAAUCACCUCGAGACUCUGGGAAACGGAGUAGAUUGUUCAACCCUCAAGAAGUCCAUGAUGUUCUACAAGGAAAUAAAGUAAGUAAAUUUCAUUAUCUUUAUCUUAGUUAUACAAUUGCUUAUAAUUUAGGUUGUCACCAGAAGAACUCAAUUCAUUUGUGCUUAAUUCUUCUCUGGCUAGUAAAUUAUCUCUAGUUGUUUGCCAACCACUCUUUCCUAAUUUCUCGUACUUUUCUUUUUACUAAACUACAGGGUUCCGAAAAUAUAGAAGUAUUGGUGUUAGAACGACAUGCAUUAAAGGGUGUGAAGCUGAGCACAAAAGCAUUUCAGAAAAUGAUAAAACUUAGGGUGCUUAAAAUCGACGACUUACAUAUUAGUGGAGAUUUUGAGCUAUUGUCCAAGGAGCUCAGAUGGUUGUCUUGGAAAGGAUGUCCUUUAAAAUGUAUGCCAUCAAAUUUUCCAGCUGAGAAACUUGUAAUCCUGAAUAUGAAAGGGAGCAAUAUCGAAGAAUUUGGUUUGAAUUUGCAGGUUUAUUACUCAAUUCUGCAAUUUGAUGUAUACUGUUAUAUUGCAACUACGUGAAGGAAAAUGUUAAUUGAAAUUAUAUUUUUUUACUUCUUAGUAUUGUAGAAGUUUGAAGGAGCUGAAUCUUUCUGAUUGCAAACGCCUCAGAAGUACUCCAAACUUCAGGGGUUCACGAAGUCUUGAAACUUUGUCGCUUGAGAAUUGCUCAAGUCUAAAGGAGAUCCAUCCAUCAAUAGGAAAUUUGGAAAGACUAACUGAUCUUCAAUUGAAUGGUUGCAAAAAGAUAUCAGAUUUUCCGAGCAGCAUAUGCCAGCUAAAUUCCCUUAAAUACUUGGACAUUAGUUACUGCUCAUCUUUACAAACACUGCCAGUUGACAUUGGAGAUAUGCACAGCCUAAGACAUAUUUAUGCACGGGAUACGGGUAGAAAACAACUGCCCGAAUCUGUUGAAAUGCUAAGAAAUCUUGAAGAAUUGCUAGUGGGAGGUCGAAAUUUAGAGGCCAAAAGGAGUUUUUCUCGAAGAAGAGUUCGCCGCAUAGAAUCCUUGUCAAUGUUUAUUUUUCAUUUAAGCCUUCCAUAUUUUGGUUUAUCCGAUGAUGAUAUUCCUAGGGACAUUGGGAGAUUAUCCAACUUACUUUAUUUAGAUUUGAGGGGCAACAGUUUCCUCUAUCUACCCUUUGAUUUUUCCAAGUUACCAUUGUUGAUGUAUUUGUAUUUGAAUGAUUGUAAGAAUCUUCAAACACUCCCGUCAAUAUCAAAUUUAGAGAAGCUUAAAAUUGUUGACCUUAGGAAUUGCCAAAAACUGGUCAAGAUUACAGGGUUGGACAACCUCCCUUCAAUAAAGAAGAUGGACAUGAUUAAUUGUACUUGUCUGCAGAAUCCAUUCAAUGAAGGCUUCUUUAGUGCCCCUGCUCUAUCAAUUCCAUCUAGAAAAUAUCCAGAGCAUGAAGUUAGUCCCUCUCUCUCUCUCUCUCUCUCUUGAAUCACUUUAUUAUUUAAUGUUCUAAUAAUGUCUUAAUUUGUCUGAUGAAGCAGCGGUUACAAGUUUAUGUCGAAAGCAAUGAGAUUCCAGAUUGGUGCAGCAAUAAAGUAACAGCUCCAUCUAUGCGUUUGACUAUGCCUACAGUAGAUAAUAAUGAGUAUAACUUCUUAGGGAUGGUUGUCUGGUUUGUUUGCCAUUGCAAUGUAUUCACCCUUCAUCAAUACUUCGAUGUUACUGUUGCCCAUAUAAAGCCUUCAGCUUUUCCGUUUAGUUUGGAUUUUGAUAUACCUGAGCCUGACAGUCAGGGAGAAAUAUCAUGUGUAUAUUACUUCUCUUACUCAUAUGAUACACCUUUUAAAGGCCUGAACAUCAAAGGCAGGGAACAGAUAACAGUAGAGGAGGGCACUGAUGAAGGUACAGUAAAGAAGAUAGGAAUACAUCUGUUAUAUUUAGACCAGCAUGGUAAUGUUACAUCUUUGCCGGGAGUUGUGGAUCAUUCUUAUACACCCUCCUACCCACAAAGACUUUCAGCAGGGCAUAUCAACCCAAACAAUAACAACAGUGAAAUUCCACGAGUGAGGUCUGGAGCAGGGGAUAUCAACUCCUCCAUGAUAAAAGAGCAAAGUUCUGAGGGUGUAUUCGGUACCAAGGAAAAUGUGUUCGAUGGAAAAUGUUCUUUUUUUGGAAAAUGUUUUUCCGGAAAAUAAGUGGGUUUCUUACUUGUUUUCAUUAGGUAAGAAAAAAGUCUAUUCUAGAAGUAUUUGUAUAUAUAACAGUAAGUAGAAAUGUUACAAGUGUUUGUAUUCAUUUUUUAUAGGUGGAUCCACCAUGUAUAGAAUGCACAAAAUCAAUAUUUGGUUGGCAUUAUGAUCAUAAUAUUUAAUUUCUACUCCCUUUUUUCCUGAAAAAAUACUAUAAAAAUGAAGUUGGAGCAGAAGAAAUUGUAUAAUAAAUAAUUUGGGACUUACUCUCUUAUAUGUGGUGCUAGGGGAGUGCCCGUUCUCAUUCUGUGAAAUGUGCACAAUUUUUUGCAGAUGAAAAAGGUGAUGGAACCAUGCAAUAUGCAUCAUCUCUCGGGAAUUUCAAGUAGUUUAAGCAGAUGUUUAUAUGUGAUAUUUGAAAAAAAUAUGUAUUUGGAAGUUAAAAUUGUGUUUGGACUUUGGUGGACAUGUAGAAGUUGGGAGAGGAAAAAAACUUUAUGUUAUUUAGAUUUGAGCGGCAAUAGUUUCCUCGAUCUACCUUUUGAUUUUUCAAAGUUACCAUUGUUGACGUCCUUGUGUUUGAAUGAUUGUAAGAAUCUUCAAACACUCCCGUCAAUAUCAAAUUUAGAGUAACUUCAAAUUGCCAAAAACUGGUCAAGAUUACAGGGUUGGACUAGCUACCUCCCGUCAAUAGAGAAGAUGGACAUGAUUAAUUAAUUGUACUUCUCUGCAGAAUCCAUUCAAUGAAGUCUUCUUUGGUGUCCAUUCUCUAUCAAUUCCAUCUAUAAAGUAUCCAAUGCAUAAGGUUAGUCCCUUUAUUUUUCUCUCUCUCGUAUCACAUUAUUAAUUAAUGUUCUUAUUGUGUCUUGAUUUGUGUGAUGAAGCUGCAUCUAUCUGUUUCACUAUUCCCACAGUACAUAAUAAUAAGUUGUUAGGAAUGGUUCUCUGGUUUGUUUGCGACUCUAAGAUUUUAUCAGAUUUUGGACACUUCAUUAUUGUUGUAUCCAAUAAAAAGCCUUUAGUUUUUUUUUUUUACUGGACUAGGUAUCCCGAAUCACACGGGGAAGUAUCAUGUGUAUAUUACAUAUCUUGCUUAACUAAACAUGGAAAAGAUAACAGUCGAGGAGGGCCGUGACAAAGGUAGAGUAAAGAAGAUAGGGGUACAUCUGUUAUACUUUGACAAACAUGGUAAUGUUACAUAAUAUACCUGACAGUCAGGGAGAAGUAUCAUGUGUAUAUUACUUAUCUUUCUCAAAUGGUAGACCUUUUAAAGGCCUUAAGAUCAAAGGCGGGGAACAGAUAACAGUAGAGGAUGGCACUGACGGAGGCAUAAUAAAGAAGCUAGAUAGGAGUACAUCUGUUAUAUUUAGAUCAACAUGGUAAUGUUAUAUCUUUCCCCGCAGUUGUGGAUCAUUCUUAUACUCCCAACCCACAAAGAUAGAUGUUUGAUUUGGGUUAAAUAUAAUUUUUUAAGCUGACAAAAAGUUGACAAGCAAACUAUAUAUUGUAAUAAAUAGUAUUCUUACAAGUGCUUUGAGAUUAUUGCUGCUUUGACGCAUUUGUACAAGAUUUUAUGUGAACAUUCCCUGGCCAAUUGAAACAAACACUGUUAGCAACAUCUCAUACUAUAUCAAUCAUGAAAUUUUCAGUGAAACGUUCUAUAACGAGGUUUGACUGUACUUGUAUAAUGUUAAACCAUCAUCGUACGUUACGAGACAUGCCACCCUUACCUACAAGGUGGAGCAUUUUCAUCAGACAUGCUCAAAUGCUACAAAUCCAUACGGAUAUGAUGAUCAAAAUUGAAUGACCGCGAAAGAAAUUAAACAAAUAGAAGCUAGAAUGUCAAAUGACUCACUAAUAAUGCAUCAAUCUCAGAUAACUGAAUUCCUUUGCUAAGGUAACUACUUACAUAGCUUCAGAGUCCAGACCAAAACAGAACACAAGCAGGGGUAAUUCAAUGUCCAAAUGUACUGCGGACUACCUCUGGAAACUCCCAUUGUCACAACCCAAGUAUAUAACACGUGUUUUCCGCUUUGGCCCUACAGACCUAACGGAUUUGUUCCUUGAGCUACGUCAUGUUAGAGUCUACUAAUAACCCGUGUACCAUGUGAACUUCCACUGCAACCUUUUCAAACACUUUACUUUCACUUAAGAUGUCAUGUGCGAUGGGUAGGAAGAAGGGAGGGGAGAAAAUCAGGUGUCACACACCUCAAACCAUGUUGUAGUCCCACAUCAUUUGUUGGAUGGAACGUGGAGUACUGCUCUUUAUAUGACUUUGGGCAAUUUUCUCCACAUGAGGUAACUUUUUAGAGUUAAGUUAAAUCCAAAUGAAAAUGACAUGAAUGAGUCAAACUUAUAACAUAUGAGAUAUUUUAGGAAUUUGCUUAAAAAUAAAAAGGGUCAAAUUCAAGAUGCAACUACAACAACUAGAUUGCACUAACCCAACACACAAGGAGCAAACGAUGAAUUGUGAAGAUAAAGUAUCAAGGAAGGUUGUGUGCUCUAACACCUUUGAUGCCUUAAUGAUCAAUUCCGAUCAAGAGCUCCAUGCAUUGUCCACUCCAAUUCUUCAAGUUUCUAAUCCAAAAACUACUAGAAUAAUCAAGGAGUCAUAUGCCACAAUGUUGAAUGAAGAAAACCCAAUGGUCAAACCACCUAUGGCAACAAUCAACACCUCGAAUCAUGAUGUUCCUAAUUCUCCAUCNNNNNNNNNNNNNNNNNNNNNNNNNNNNNNNNNNNNNNNNNNNNNNNNNNNNNNNNNNNNNNNNNNNNNNNNNNNNNNNNNNNNNNNNNNNNNNNNNNNNNNNNNNNNNNNNNNNNNNNNNNNNNNNNNNNNNNNNNNNNNNNNNNNNNNNNNNNNNNNNNNNNNNNNNNNNNNNNNNNNNNNNNNNNNNNNNNNNNNNNNNNNNNNNNNNNNNNNNNNNNNNNNNNNNNNNNNNNNNNNNNNNNNNNNNNNNNNNNNNNNNNNNNNNNNNNNNNNNNNNNNNNNNNNNNNNNNNNNNNNNNNNNNNNNNNNNNNNNNNNNNNNNNNNNNNNNNNNNNNNNNNNNNNNNNNNNNNNNNNNNNNNNNNNNNNNNNNNNNNNNNNNNNNNNNNNNNNNNNNNNNNNNNNNNNNNNNNNNNNNNNNNNNNNNNUUGGCCUAGGCAACAAAGAAGUGGAAGCAACAAAACAAAAAGAAGACACAUGAAAGGCAACAUAGUUGUGAUGGUAAGGUGACUGAAGAAUUUAUUCCAAAGCACCUACCAAUGCGACUGACAAAGCAAAAUCAUAUGACAGUUUCAACAACAACAUGAUCCAGUAAAUCCAAAAAGAAGUGAAGAACUAUCAAGUUUUGUUGGUCAUAUUUGACGAAGAAGAGAAGAGGGAAAUACUUCAGGUUACUUUACACGGGCAAUCCAUCUCUUUUAAUUUUUAUAUAUAUAAAAUGAAGUUUGAGGUUGAUAACUCAGCUUUAUUCUUAGAUUUUGUAUUUUUGCAUUACUUAAGCAUCCUCAUUUGUAGUAUCAUCAUAGAGUGUAUCAUAAACUCUAUGAUGAACACAAAAUAUUUAGUUUUCUCUAGCUCUUAUUUUCUUCAUGCUUGUUAAUUAGUAGAUGUUCGUUACCUCAUUAAGAUUAGUAAGGUAAGGCCUAGCCCCCCUUUCUUGUACUUUUCUCAUUGAGAUCCUUUUCUCUUUAUUAAUAAAACUAGACCUAGGCACACAUUGCCUAGCGGAAUUGUUUAACAAAAAAAAAACUACUAUUAGAAUUGACCUUUGGUGGGUAGAGAAAUUUAGAAUGUGAAACCAUUCAAAUUAAAAAGAAAAAGAAUUGAAUGUUUUCAUUUAAUUUCCAUCAACUUUCCUCCACAAUAAGAUUGCCUAUCAAGAGUCCCACAAGUAUAAUUUCCUAGAAGGAUGAAAUGUACUGUUAUUAAUUAUUGGAAUGCAAAAAGAAGAAGCAUGUGGUUUUACUGUGCAUGUCACACUGAAUGAAAAUAUAUGUAAAGCACUUUUAGUCAAGUGAAAUCACAGGCAUACCUCCAAACCAGCUAAAAAAAUAUGAUAUUACUUAUAUAGAUUUAAUUAAAUACAUAAUUUACCUAACCAGUUAUCAAACAUGAUAAGAGUAUUAUUUAUACAAAUUUAAUAUGCGGAUAAUUUACCUCCAAAUCAAUGGCUUAGUGACUCGUUAAAGUGAAUUUUGACCAAUUAUUCCAAACCAAAUGAGAGAUGACUCUUGAUCAAUUAUUUCAAUCCACUUAUCAAUAAUGUGAAAGAGAUUUAAAGAAGAAUGACUUUGAAAUGCCAAAAAGAAAUUAAAGCAGAUAGUUAUACCGACAAUUAACAGUCCAUAGUGAAUUAUUGGAGGUAUGAAACAUUUUUCUUAAAAAUAUAUUUAAAGAUAAAAAUUAAAAAUUAUUUUUUUAAUAUUUCUAAACUGUACAAAUAAUAAUGAUCAUUGUUUUAAUAAUAUGAACAAGUAAAAAUCUACGAAGAGAGGGUAAGUAAAUAGUAUAUCUAUUAAUAUCAUGACAAAUAAAAGUGAAAUACACAUUUCUAUGAAAUAUCUUGGAAACUUCCCUUUCAUUUCUGUCAUGCUUCUUUGGGGCUUGUAAAUGACUUGACCCAUUAUUAAUUUUCCAGGAACAAAUAAUUACCUGUGGGUAUAUGUAGAAGCUGCUUCACCCAUCUUUCUUUCAUUAUUAAAACAAAAAAUGAUCUAAAAAUCCCUUAAAAUUAUUGUCAUCAAAUAUGCAUGCACAGUUUGUUGUAGGAGAAUCAUCUUCUUCUUCCAACUUGUCUUAUGAUGUAUUUCUCAGUUUCAGAGGCAAAGAUACUCGCAAAACCUUCACCGGUCAUCUUUACACCCAAUUGUGUCAAGUCGGAGUUAAUACCUUCAUAGAUGAUGAGGAAUUAAGAAAGGGAGACGUCAUUUCAACCGAACUUGAGAAAGCAAUUGAACAAUCAAGGGUUGCCAUUGUUGUUUUCUCCAAAAAUUAUGCUUCCUCUAGUUGGUGUCUUGAUGAACUUGUCAAAAUUCUCGAUUGCAGAGUGAGGUUAAAAGCAGGUAGUUUUGCCUAUUUUCUAUGAUGUUGAUCCUUCUCAAGUGCGAAGGCAAACUGGGUCCUUUGGUGAAGCUUUGGCAAAACAUAAGGAACGAUUGUUUGGAGCUCAAAGAGUGGAGAAGUGGAAAGUUGCACUAACCGAAGCUGCGAAUUUAUCUGGAUGGGAUUUGCGAAAUAUUGCUGAUGGGUAAGACUUCUUAAUUCAACUUAAAUUCCAUGUCAAAUCAAACAACAUCACAUGAACUGGGACGAGGAAGUAGUAGUAAUGGGCAAUCUCCAUUCUCUAACCUCAAUUUCCCUAUUGGUUAUUGUCUGUUGGGUAUGGAUUUUGUUUUGUUCAUCAAAUAUUUUCAAAUAUCAAAGUUUCGUUUUUUAAAUUUUAACUCUGUUAUUGCUGAAAAACCGUAGGCAUGAAUCAAAAUUUAUUGGAAGUAUUAUAAAACAAGUUCUGCAAGAGGCCAACCAGACACCUCUAGAUGUUGCUCAUUACCCAAUUGGAUUAGAUUCUCCUAUCGAGCAUAUAGAGUUGUUACUGCAAAGUGGAUGUGGGCAUGAAGUUCGCAUGGUUGGUAUAUGUGGCGUUGGUGGAAUUGGAAAAACAACUCUAGCAAAAGCUAUCUACAAUCGAAUAUUUCAACAGUUUAGUGGUAGUUGCUUCCUUUCGGACAUUAGAUCAAAAGCUGAAGAAUUGGGUCUUGUCAAGCUACAAGAAAAAGUACUUUGUCAAAUUCUCAAAACUAAGGAGUUCGAAGUUGAUAGCGUUGCUGAAGGUGUCAAUCUAAUCAAAGCAAGACUUGGGUCAAAGAAGGUUCUAAUUGUUCUUGAUGAUGUGGAUCAUAGAUGCCAAUUAGAAUCCUUAACAAGAGAAAGAAGUUGGUUUGGCUCUGGUAGUGUAAUAAUUAUUACAACCCGAGACGAGCAAUUGCUACAUGGGCUUACAACAAAUGAGAUAUACCAGGCCAAACUUUUAAAUGAAAAUGAAGCUCAGCAACUUUUUUAUUGCCAUGCUUUUAACAGUCUUUCUCCACCACAAGAAUAUGUUAAACUGGCACAAGACAUAAUAAAAUAUUCAUAUGGGCUACCAUUAGCUCUUGUGACAUUAGGGUCACAUCUACAAGGGAGAUCCGUUAAAGAAUGGAGAGAUGAGUUCAAUAAACUAAAAGCAAUUCCUCAUUGUGAUGUUCAAAAGAUUCUCCAGAUAAGCUUUGAUGGACUUGAUGAUAAUACUCAGAGUGUUUUCCUUGAUAUCGCAUGCGCCUUCCAAGGUUUUUUUGAGGAUGAAGUUACUAAUACAUUAAAUGCGUGUGGUUUUUAUUCUGAAAGUGCUAUUUCAACCUUAGUCCAAAGGAACUUGCUCCAAAGGAAUUGUCGUAAGUUAGUGAUGCAUGAUCUAGUGCGGGAUAUGGGAAGAGAAAUCGUUCGCAUGGAAUCACCUCGAGACUGUGGAAAACGGAGUAGAUUGUUCAACCCUCAAGAAGUCCUUGAUGUCCUACAAGGAAAUAAAGUCAGUAAAUUUCAUUAUCUUUAUCUUGGUUAUACUUUCUUUUCUCUUCUUUUUUUUUCAUUUAAUUUGAUAUACAUUUGCUUAUAAUUUAGGUUGUCACCACAAUAACUCAAUUCAUUUGUGCUUAAUUCUUCUCUGGCUGGUAAAUUAUCUCUAGUUGUUUGACAACCACUCUUUCCUAAUUUCUUGGACUUUUCAUUUUACUAAACAACAGGGUUCCAAAAAUGUAGAAGUAUUGGUGAUAAAUCAACAGGCAUUAAAGGGUGUGAAGCUGAGCACAAAAGCAUUUCAGAAAAUGAUAAAACUUAGGGUGCUUAAAAUUGACGACUUACAUAUUAGUGGAGAUUUUGAGCUAUUGUCCAAGGAGCUCAGAUGGUUGUCUUGGAAAAAAUGUCCUUUAAAAUGUAUACCAUCAAAUUUUCCAGCUGAAAAACUUGUAGUUCUGAAUAUGGAAGGGAGCGAUAUCCAAGAAUUUGGUUUGAAUUUGCAGGUUCGUACUGCUAUUGUACUGCUAUAUUGCAAUUACGUGAAGGAAAAUCUUAAUUAAAAUUAUAUUUUGUUUACUUUUAGUAUUGUAGAAGUUUGAAGACGCUGAAUCUCUCUAAUUGCAAUCACCUCAGAAGUACUCCAAACUUCAAGGGUUCACGAAGUCUCAAGAUUUUGUCGCUUGAGAAUUGCUCAAGUCUAAAGGAGAUCCAUCCAUCAAUAGGAAAUUUGGAAAGACUAAUUGAUCUUCAAUUGAGUGGUUGCGAAAAGAUUACGGAUCUUCCGAGCAGCAUAUGCCAGCUAAAAUCCCAUGAAGACUUGGACAUUACUUUCUGCUCAUCUUUACAAACACUGCCAAUUGACAUUGGAGAUAUGCAAAGCCUAACUCAUCUUAGUGCAUGGGGAACCGGUAUAAAACAGUUGCCUGGAUCUGUUGAAAUGCUAAGAAAUCUUAAACAAUUGAAAGUGGGAGAUGAAACUUUAGAGGCCAAAAGGAGUUUUUCUCUAAGAAGAGUCCGCCGCAUAGAAUCCUUAUCUAAUUUUAUUUCGAUUUUAUGUCUUGCAUACUGUGGUUUCUCUGAGGCUGAUAUUCCUAGGGAUAUUGGGAGUUUAUCCAACUUAUUGCAUUUAGAUUUGAGGGGCAACAAUUUCCUCUAUCUACCCUUUGAUUUUUCCAAGUUACCAUUGUUGGUGUCCUUGUGUUUGAGUGAUUGUAAGAAUCUUCAAACACUCCCGUCAAUAUCAAAAUUAGAAAAGCUUGAAAGUUUUUAUCUUAGGGAUUGCCAAAAACUGGUGAAGAUUACAGAUUUGGACAACCUCCCUUCAAUAGAGAGGAUCGAGAUGAAUAAUUGUACGUCCCUGCAGAAUCCAUUCAAUGAAGGCUUCUUUAGUGCCCCUGCUCUAUCAAUUCUAUCUAGAAAACAUCCACUGUAUCAGAUGGUUAGUCCCUCUCCCUCUCUCUGAUCUCUCUCUCGUAUCACAUUAUUAAUUAAUGAUCUAAUUGGGUCUUAAUUUCUCUGAUGAAGCAGCAGGUACAAAUUUAUCUCAAAAGCAAUGAGAUUCCAGAUUGGUGCAGCAAUAAAGUAACAGCUCCAUCUAUCUGUUUGACUAUCCCCACACUACAUAAUAACAAGUUCUUAGGAAUGGUUCUCUGGUUUGUUUGCCACUUUUGCAAUGUACACAU
rnacentral:lncRNA from 1 species